AUUGAACGCUGGCGGCGUGCCUAACACAUGCAAGUCGAGCGGUAACAGGUGUAGCAAUACAUGCUGACGAGCGGCGAACGGGUGAGUAGUGCUUCGGAAUCUACCUUAUGGUGGGGAAUAACUAGCCGAAAGGUUAGCUAAUACCGCAUACGUCCUACGGGAGAAAGCAGGGGAUCGCAAGACCUUGCGCCAAAAGAUGAGCCGAAGUCGGAUUAGCUAGUUGGUAGGGUAACGGCCUACCAAGGCGACGAUCCGUAGCUGGUCUGAGAGGACGACCAGCCACACUGGGACUGAGACACGGCCCAGAGUCCUACGGGAGGCAGCAGUGGGGAAUAUUGGACAAUGGGGGAAACCCUGAUCCAGCGACGCCGCGUGUGUGAAGAAGGCCUGCGGGUUGUAAAGCACUUUUAGUGGGGAUGAAAUGUGCAGGGUUAAUACCUCUGCAUUUUGACCUAACCCACAGAAAAAGCACCGGCUAACUCUGUGCCAGCCGCCGCGGUAA
rnacentral:rRNA from 1 species